ensembl:lncRNA
AUGCAAAUGGAAAGGAAGUCAGAGCACUGCACAAAUAUGAUACUAUCUUGUGUUAUUCUGAUAAGCAUUAGUCUGUGGUUCAACAGCAUGUAUGAGACCCAACGUAUUAACAGGUAUCUACAUGUUUCAAGUUUCAAAUGCACAUUCUGGAGCCCAGCACUCACUCCAAGUCAAGUACAAAAUCAAAAGCAGUUUGUUUAAAUCUGUGUUCCGAGGAUGAAGGGAGCUGCUGUAACCUAAGGGGUGUAAGAUAAGAGGAUGAUGCAUCUCUGAAUCAGUCAGACACUGGGCUAAUACUAGCAGUGGGGGGCACACGGAGGCCCUGAAGGUGGCUUGUGGGGGUGAGAGAUGACUAAUUGGAACGGUGAGCUCUCCUCCCCUUUUCCUGCUGUUUCUGUCCUGUGGCUUUUCCCAGGGUCCCGUCCCUGUUGGACAUCUAGGCCUACUGCGAGAUUACACCAGAUCACAUCACAGAAAGUCUGUCUAUACGUAAACAAACACACAUAAAUCCACACACGCCUGGAAAUCCGUCAAAUAAAAGAGGAAGAGAGAUGGGACGGCGGCAGAAGAUUGAUGCACGAUCUGUUUCUUGCUCUUUCAGACUCUUUCUCUCUUUAUCUUUCUUUAUCUAUGUACUGCAUGUCGUAGAGAGCUUCCAGAAGCAUCCUACCUGUUCGGAGAUGAUUUAGGAUUAAGGAAAAGAGGUUUUAUGACAUUGCUCUCAUAAUAGGCUUUAUUCUUCUCUAAAGCCAGUAAUCAUGUGAAAUGCAACCCAUGGGCCAAUAAUGAGUUUUGCAGUACAGAAAUGUUCCUGUAAACUGUCAUAAAUAAACACAUUUCAAUAAUGUUUUUUUCUUUACUGUAAGGCAAAUAUUUGUUAUUAUUCUGAAAUGUAUGCAUUAUUUAAUUUUGGUUUAUAAUAAUAAUUAUAUCUGUGUUUUGUACAAUGCACUUUGUGUCUUUCUAUUUCAGACUUAAUUUCCAUUCAC